rnacentral:rRNA from 1 species
GACGAACGCUGGCGGCGUGCUUAACACAUGCAAGUCGAACGGAAAGGCCCUGCUUUUGUGGGGUGCUCGAGUGGCGAACGGGUGAGUAACACGUGAGUAACCUGCCCUUGACUUUGGGAUAACUUCAGGAAACUGGGGCUAAUACCGGAUAGGAGCUCCUGCUGCAUGUUGGGGGUUGGAAAGUUUCGGCGGUUGGGGAUGGACUCGCGGCUUAUCAGCUUGUUGGUGGGGUAGUGGCUUACCAAGGCUUUGACGGGUAGCCGGCCUGAGAGGGUGACCGGCCACAUUGGGACUGAGAUACGGCCCAGACUCCUACGGGAGGCAGCAGUGGGGAAUAUUGAACAAUGGGCGGAAGCCUGAUGCAGCAACGCCGAGUGCGGGAUGACGGCCUUCGGGUUGUAAACCGCUUUCGCCUGUGACGAAGAGUGAGUGACGGUAAUGGGUAAAGAAGCACCGGCUAACUACGUG